rfam:Canis lupus familiaris chromosome 3, whole genome shotgun sequence.
UGCUUUGCGCAGUGGCAGUAUCGUAGCCAAUGAGGUUUAUCCGAGGCGCGAUUAUUGCUAAUUGAAAACUCUCCUACACUUCUUAAUGUUUGAGUUUCCUAAAGCUCAGCUCUUAGAAGUCUUCUCUUCUGUUGCUACAU